CUAACGACCUGGGAAUGGCUGGGAGAGAAGCCUGGCAUGUGAGGGAGCCACCGUAAGAGAAACCGUCCCAGAAGAGAGGCGCUAACUAGGUGAAGACAUAUGACUCUGAGCGCUCCUUCUUAAUUCUAAUGGAGGGAGAGCCUGGCACUGAGCCAGGAAACAGAAAAGGCAUGAAAGGAAGAACUAAUUUGGAGCUGGCGAAGGGAGUGUUUUCUGGCUUAUUUAAACACAUAGAUAUAGAAUUCAAACAGGGAGGAGGAAUCUGACUACCAGAUGGAACGGCUGCGUGAGGCAGGAUGUCAGCAAUGGAGUCAACAAUGCCCAGGCAUGAAAGGAGACAUUUUGACAGCAGGGAAGCCAUAGAAAGAAAGAUGCUUGGUGGACUGGGUGGGUUCACCUUAUUCUCAGUACUUUAUUUCCAUCUAAAUCCCUUGGAGGCAGAGGUAGAGGACAGCUAAUCGAGACCUCACCAAACAUGGAUUUAUUGGAUGUCCAUUAUGAGGCAGGCACUGGGUUGGCACCCAGGGAUCCAUCAAGGAGCAUGACCGAGAUUCUCUGCUCACAGAGAGCAUCCAUUCUUGUUGUCAUUUAGACGGUCAAACACACAAAGGACCCUGGCUUGCAGGAUCAGAACUCAGAGGACAGCCGAGAAGAAGAAAGGCCAUGGAAGAACACAGCUAGAAUGUGGCUACCUGCAGACCAAGGAAAGAAGUCUCACAAAAACCAAUCCUGCUGGGACCUUCAUCUCGAACUCCCAGCCUCCAGAACAGUGAGAAGUCCGUGCCUGUGGUUUAAACCCCCCAGUCUGUGGUACUUUGUUCUGGCAGCACAAGCUGACUGAUACACACUGUGUUUGGGCUGAAAGGAAAGAAAAGGAAAAAACAGAUGUUGUCAGCCAGGAGCUGGCCCUGUAUUUACAGUUCUCUGUUGAACAGAAACAGUUUCACAGAAAACAUUAAACCAGGCCACCACGAGGCCAUCAUGGGUCAGGACAAAAACAAGAUCACACUCUGGAACCAUGUCUUGACCCAGAUAAAACAUGAACAUUGUCCAAACCACAGAAAUAACCAAACAUCUGUCUAUUUUGGUUAAUAUGAGUGACUGCUGCCUCUUUAUAAAUUAGAGCAUUAGCCUCACCCACCCUUUCCUCCUUCUAGAUAAGAUUCAUUCUUGAAUGACCUUCAUUUCCUGAAGGCAUCCAGUCCAGAGUAAGGCUCCACUUCUCUAAAAUCUCUCCCAAAACACGGGACACAAGCCCAAAUUUUAUCAUAAGUCCUGUCUAAGACUUACAGAGGUUUCCCAUGGUUCCCAUGGGCAUUAAACCCAGCUUGGUCAAUUAUAGGUGUGUCGUGUGUCUGGUGGUCACUGACUGAAGGACAUUGACAAAAGUAUGAGUGUGUGUACGGUUUUCGAAACAAAUAUUUAGCAUUGCAUAUUGUUAUGAACUGGAUGUUUGCAUACCCCGUUCCAUUCCUAGGUCCACCCUUAAUCCCCACUGUGAUGGUGGUUAGAGGUGGAGACUUUAAGAAGUAUUCAGGUUUAGAUGGGGUCGUGAGGGAAUUCCUUAUGAUGGGAUUCAUGCUUUUGUAAGAAGAGGAGGACAGAGAACUCUCACUCCCUUCAUGUGCCUGAUCCAGGAAAAGCCAUGUGAGGACACAGCAAGACAGUGGCCAUCUAUAAGCCAGGAAGAGAGCUUUCACCAGGAA